ACUCCUACGGGAGGCAGCAGUGGGGAAUUUUGGACAAUGGGCGAAAGCCUGAUCCAGCAAUGCCGCGUGAGUGAAGAAGGCCUUCGGGUUGUAAAGCUCUUUUGUCAGGGAAGAAACGGUGAGAGCUAAUAUCUUUUGCUAAUGACGGUACCUGAAGAAUAAGCACCGGCUAACUACGUGCCAGCAGCCGCGGUAAUACGUAGGGUGCAAGCGUUAAUCGGAAUUACUGGGCUUAAAGCGUGCGCAGGCGGUUUUGUAAGUCUGAUGUGAAAUCCCCGGGCUCAACCUGGGAAUUGCAUUGGAGACGGCAAGGCUAGAAUCUGGCAGAGGGGGGUAGAAUUCCACGGGUAGCAGUGAAAUGCGUAGAUAUGUGGAGGAACACCGAUGGCGAAGGCAGCCACCUGGGUCAAGAUUGACGCUCAUGCACGAAAGCGUGGGGAGCAAACAGGAUUAGAUACCCCAGUAGUCCCAUGA
rnacentral:rRNA from 1 species